AAAACUGUGAAUGGAUGGACAAAAACAUAAUAAAUAGAAGGAGGAAAUGCUUGUAAUCAAACCGUCUGGAGAAAAAACAUAUCAGAGAGGAAAUUUAGCCAUUCAAGACAAAUGGAGCUCCAAAGACACAAUAUAGAAAACAGAAGACUUGGCAACACAAACUUUAACAAAAAGCGGGGAUGAUCACAGAUGAUCCUGAAGGACAAAAUAUGAUUGCUGUACAGAAAAGUCUUACCUACAGGGACUAUAUAGCCAUCUUGAUCUGUUUCACUGCAGAUAAGUGGUUAAUAUCAAUUGGUAAUAAAGGUUAAGAAGACAUAUGCCAAUUUCAUACAUUUGGUUUAUACAGAUAAUAAAUUCUUAAGAAAGUAUCAUAUAGCAGAAGCUUUUCUUCGAAGACGAUUUGUUAAUAUUGAGAAUCACCGCAUAUAGUACACAAUCAUCCAUAUUUGAUUUCCAACAAUAUGGAACGAAAUGAUUCAUAAUGUAUUCUUAGUAAAGAUUGUGUUUAAAUUGUUUUUGACACUGAAUAUAAGUCUAUUUAACCUUUUCUAAUUGUUUAAGAUAUGUGUACAUAAGUAAACAAAAUUAUAUAUAUUUUUUUGGCAUAAUUCAUUAAAACAAUUUAACUUGAAA